GUCAUCGUUCUCGCCGUGUGCCUGGCUCUGUCAGCUGCCAGCGCCUCUGCUCUGCAGAUGCCCGGGAUGGGGCUGCAGGACUUGUAUGGCGCCGGCGCCCUGAUGACGAUGAUGGGCGCCGGCGGCGGGCUGUACCCCUGCGCCGAGUACCUGAGGCAGCCGCAGUGCAGCCCGGUGGCGGCGCCCUUCUACGCCCUUCGUGAGCAGACAAUGUGGCAGCCAAACUUCAUCUGCCAGCCUCUCCGACAGCAGUGCUGCCAGC
rnacentral:lncRNA from 1 species